rnacentral:misc_RNA from 1 species
GAAAUGCGAUACGUAAUGCGAAUUGCAGAAUUCAGUGAAUCAUCAAAUCUUUGAACGCAAAUUGCACUUUCUGGAUAGGCCAGGGAGUAUGCCUCUUUGAGCAUCGUUUCUACCCCAACUCGUUAGCUUUAUGAAAUACUAAAGCGAGCGGAGAAUGCGCUUCUCGCUGGAAACAGUGAGUGGCGUUAAGACUAGCAAGUUCUUUUAACUUUAUUCUAGUGUUCGACCUCUUCGGAGGGCGCCUUUUCCAUACCAGGAAGAUACCACUAGCAACGUAGAUAAAAUUUUUUUAACCACGUUGUUAUGUAAAUCCAAUGGCAUCGAUUGUGGCUAAGACAAUAGGAUCCAAAAGAACUUUUGAAGAAAAUUAAUAUAAUUUUUGAAUUAGAUCUCAAAUGAA